CGAGCUCUGAAAGCCUUGGCCACGGGCUUUUCGGGGCCCGGCUCCGGCGCGCAAGUCGAGCCCCGCUCGCUUCCCCCUUUUCCGCACAGCGGGAGGCGGGUCUCCCAAGGCGGGCUGCCGCGGACGGACCGGGAGCGAAGGAGCUUCGGGGCCCCGCGGGAGGCGCCCAAGGUUUCUGGCGGUCGCUUUCCUCCUCCCCGAGGGCGGCGACCUCUCGCGGCGGUCCGCAGGAAACGUCCGGGUCCCGCGCGCUGUCCUUCGGGAAUUUCUGAAGAAGGGGAGACUGAAAAGGCUUUUGGCAAAAUCCCCCGGUGCCAACAGAAGUGAAGCAUGACAGAAAGAAGCAGCCCCCCUCGAUGGUUUUGACAGCAACUCUCAACACGUCCAGCCAAUACAGCUGUUUGGAAAUCACCAGACUGUGGAAGGCUGCUGGCAAGGUGUGGGACAAUUCACAUGGAUGAGCACAGAUGAUAUUUCUGGCUAAGGGUUUAUAUUUCAAUAGAGGUCAUGCAACAGUAAUAAACAAAUCAAAUAACUCUUUA